AUCCAGAUGACGAGUUCUAAAUAAAGCGGAACGCGCGUCCUGCAU
rnacentral:hammerhead_ribozyme from 1 species